UCCAGGUUCCAUGGAAUUUUCUCAAGUAUAGGAUAAUAAUUAGGCUACUCUUUCGAUAAAUUUUCUUUAAUCUGUCUUUUCUUCCACUAGGUAGACACUAAUUAUGUUGUACAUCAUCUGCCAUUUUUCUGGCAUGAACAGCCUGCUGGCACAAGUCAGUGGAAAUUCAACAUUCAUUAAGGGAUAUGCAGGCUAAACAAAUGUGCCUUGCCUCAGUGCUGCUUUACAAGCAGAGAACCUUGAAUCAAAUAUUUGAUAAAAACCUCUGACACUCAAUGAGAAAGGGAAGACUGAGAAACCAAGAAGUUAGGAGGACUUGCCCGAAGUCACGGAGCCAUCUUUUCCCUCCCUCUUCUGGACCACUGCAAUGGGGACAGCUGGAAAAACUAUGGAGAAAGCCCUGUCUGAUCACAUGGCAGACAACUGCACAGUGCAGAAAAUUAAAUGUAAAUUCAACUGAGAUUUCUGGAAGGAACAAGCACACAGGGUGUUUCUGCAAAUAACAUAUUUUUACUUUGAGCUCAUCCCGGGAACCUCUGUGCAGCAGUGUAAGGGCAGCCACUGACAACCAUAUGUUCUAUCCACACAGAAACGGGGGUGUACUUUCUUUUAAAUCAGAUCUUUAAAGACAAGUAUCUAUAAACUGACAGAUCGAUGUUAUUUUUGGCCUCGGCUUGUAUUAACUCAGAAGUUGGGCAGAAAACUGUUCUAUUCUCUUUUUUGUUUAACUAUUCAAAUUAACAGAUGCAUUUCCUAUCAUUUGGUGCUUUUUCUGUCAAUAACACACAAAUCCCAUGGAAACAUGCCAAAGAUUUUCUUAGCAACCAAGCCUUUUGCCUGAUAUACACAAUUAACUACAACAGUCUGUUAAAAGCUUAAAAUAAACUGUCUUUUUAGAA